rnacentral:lncRNA from 1 species
GUUCGAACACGGGAAAAGACUAGUUAUAUAAAUUGGGUCUAUUAGUGUCACAAUUGACUGUACUCUGGCUAUUUAAAAUCAAUUAUCAAACUAUAAAACACCAAGGCUUACUACUUCCAUCUUGAUUUAAUACAUAAUCUAUUCUAUGACUAUCAAUUCAAUAAUACUUCUCUCAAUCACAAUUCUUCAUGAGCAUAUAAUAAAAGCAAAGAAAACAAAGAGGUAGCACUAAGCUUACCCCAGCUUACGACUCUCACAGUCUGGCUCUCCGCUUACGACUCUCACAGUUUGGCC